rnacentral:piRNA from 1 species
UAAAAGCAUUUAUUUAGUGCCUACUGUGU